rnacentral:rRNA from 1 species
AACGAACGCUGGCGGCAUGCCUAACACAUGCAAGUCGAGCGAGACCUUCGGGUCUAGUGGCGCACGGGUGCGUAACGCGUGGGAACCUGCCUUUAGGUUCGGAAUAACUCAGAGAAAUUUGAGCUAAUACCGGAUGAUGUCUUCGGACCAAAGAUUUAUCGCCUUUAGAUGGGCCCGCGUUGGAUUAGCUAGUUGGUGGGGUAAAGGCCUACCAAGGCGACGAUCCAUAGCUGGUCUGAGAGGAUGAUCAGCCACACUGGGACUGAGACACGGCCCAGACUCCUACGGGAGGCAGCAGUGGGGAAUAUUGGACAAUGGGCGAAAGCCUGAUCCAGCAAUGCCGCGUGAGUGAUGAAGGCCUUAGGGUUGUAAAGCUCUUUUACCCGAGAUGAUAAUGACAGUAUCGGGAGAAUAAGCUCCGGCUAGCUCCGUG